rnacentral:rRNA from 1 species
AUUGAACGCUGGCGGCAGGCCUAACACAUGCAAGUCGAGCGGAUGAAGGGAGCUUGCUCCUGGAUUCAGCGGCGGACGGGUGAGUAAUGCCUAGGAAUCUGCCUGGUCGUGGGGGAUAACGUCCGGAAACGGGCGCUAAUACCGCAUACGUCCUGUGGGAGAAAGUGGGGGUUCUUCGGACCUCACGCUAUCAGAUGAGCCUAGGUCGGAUUAGCUAGUUGGUGGGGUAAAGGCCUACCAAGGCGACGAUCCGUAACUGGUCUGAGAGGAUGAUCAGGCACACUGGAACUGAGACACGGUCCAGACUCCUACGGGAGGCAGCAGUGGGGAAUAUUGGACGAUGGGCGAAAGCCUGAUCCAGCAAUGCCGCGUGUGUGAAGAAGGUCUUCGGAUUGUAAAACACUGUAAGUUGGGAGGAAGGGCAGUAAGUUAAUACCUUGCUGUUUUGACGGUACCUACAGAAUAAGCACCGGCUAACUUCGUG